rnacentral:rRNA from 1 species
UUAUUUUAAUCUUAAUUGUUAAUUUUAUUUAUGUUUGGUGUUUUUAGAAAUAACUAUAAUUAUUAGUACUGUUUAUUGAAUUUAUAUAUUUUAUAUUUAUAGUUUAUUUUAUCUGUGAGGUGGUGAAUUAUUAUUAAUACUUUAGAAGUAAAUAAUAUUAUUGUACCUUUUGUAUCAGGGUUUAUCAAUUUAAUUUAUUUAUUUAAAUAAUUUUCCCGAAACUGCAAGGGAUAUCAUAAUUUGGUAUUUAUUGUUUUAUAAAUAUUAUGAAAUUUAUGAUAGGUAAUAUAUUUUAUUCAAUUGCUGAUAUCUGGUUUUUUGAUAGAUGAAUUUAAUUCAGGGUUAAUUUAAUUAAUUAUAUAAUUUUAUUUUAUAUUAUUUAUUUAAUCUAAGAUUAAAGGGGAUAAGCUCUUUUUUUAUUUUAUAACUAAUAUUUUAUUAUCUAAAAUUUUGUAGGAUUAACAAUGUCCUUCAUUUGUUUUAAAUAUUUUGUUAUUAUUAUUUUUUUGUUAAUAUAUUUUAAUUUAUUAUUAGUUUAAUUUUUUAUCAAUUCUUUUUAUUUAACAUUAAAAUAUAAUUUAUAAUGAUAAAAUUAGUAAUUUUGUUUAUUUAUUUAUAGUAACUCGGCAAAUUUGAUUUUCACCUGUUUAUCAAAAACAUGUCCUGUUGUUAUUUAUUUCAGGUCAAACCUGCUCAAUGAUUAAUUUAUAAUUAAUUUAAUAGCCGCAGUAUUUUGACUGUGCAAAGGUAGCAUAAUCAUUUGUCUUUUAAUUGAAGGCUUGUAUGAAUGGUUUCAUGAAAUUUCUGCUUUCUUUAUUUAAACUUUUGAAUUUAACUUUUUAGUUAAAAGGCUAAAAUUUAUUUAUGGGACGAGAAGACCCUAUAGAAAUUUAUAUUUAUAUUUGUAUUUACAUUUUUGUUUAUUAAUUAAUAUUUUUAUUUAUUUAAAUAUUUUGUUGGGGCGACUUAGAGAUUUUAUGAACUCUUUAUUUUUAUCUUUUAUUUAUUUAUAUUUAUUUUUGAUCCUUUAUUAUGGAUAAUAAGAUUAAUUUACCUUAGGGAUAACAGCGUAAUUCUUUCGGAGAGUUCUUAUCGAUGAGAGGGUUUGCGACCUCGAUGUUGGAUUAAAAUAAGCUUUAAGUGCAGUAGCUUAAUGUCUAGGUCUGUUCGACCUUUAAAAUUUUACAUGAUCUGAGUUCAGACCGGCGUGAGCCAGGUCGGUUUCUAUCUAUAAAAUGUUAGCAUACUUUAGUACGAAAGGAUUGAGUAUGCCAAUUAAAUUGUUAAUAUUAUGAUUAUUAUUAAUUU